rnacentral:tRNA from 1 species
GGAGAGGUGGCCGAGUGGUCGAAGGCGCAGCACUGGAAAUGCUGUGUACCCGACGGGUACCGAGGGUUCAAAUCCCUCUCUCUCCGCCA